UACGUAGGGUGCAAGCGUUGUCCGGAAUUAUUGGGCGUAAAGAGCUCGUAGGCGGUCUGUCGCGUCGGCUGUGAAAUCCCGGAGCUCAACUCCGGGUCUGCAGUCGAUACGGGCAAACUGGAGUACUGCAGGGGAGACUGGAAUUCCUGGUGUAGCGGUGAAAUGCGCAGAUAUCAGGAGGAACACCGGUGGCGAAGGCGGGUCUCUGGGUCGAUACUGACGCUGAGGUGCGAAAGCGUGGGGAGCAAACAGG
rnacentral:rRNA from 1 species